rnacentral:rRNA from 1 species
GGAAUAUUGGUCAAUGGAGGCAACUCUGAACCAGCCAUGCCGCGUGCAGGAUGACGGUCCUAUGGAUUGUAAACUGCUUUUGUACAGGAAGAAACCGCUCUACGUGUAGAGCCUUGACGGUACUGUAAGAAUAAGGAUCGGCUAACUCCGUGCCAGCAGCCGCGGUAAUACGGAGGAUCCAAGCGUUAUCCGGAAUCAUUGGGUUUAAAGGGUCCGUAGGCGGCUUAGCAAGUCAGUGGUGAAAUCUCCCCGCUCAACGGGGAAACGGCCAUUGAUACUACUAGGCUUGAAUUAUUAGGAAGUAACUAGAAUAUGUAGUGUAGCGGUGAAAUGCUUAGAUAUUACAUGGAAUACCAAUUGCGAAGGCAGGUUACUACUAAUUGAUUGACGCUGAUGGACGAAAGCGUGGGGAGCGAACAGGAUUAGAUACCCUGG